ACGCAGCGAAAUGCGAUACUUGGUGUGAAUUGCAGAAUCCCGUGAACCAUCGAGUCUUUGAACGCAAGUUGCGCCCCAAGCCUUAGGGCCGAGGGCACGCCUGCCUGGGUGUCACGCAUMGUAGCCC
rnacentral:rRNA from 1 species